rnacentral:lncRNA from 10 species
GGAAACUAUUUCUAUAGCAGCAGAGCGAGAAAGCAAUAUGGAAUCCGGCUGAAUGUCCAAGAUCACCAGGCAGUGUGGGUGUAUCUUUCAGGAGCCUCGAGUCUGGGGUCAGAACAACCGGUGUUGAGGCUUGCAAGGAUGUGUAUUUAUUGAGUGACCUUAAAGAAAAUAAGUUCCAGAAGGCUGUUUCUGAAUCUGUGAGUAGGAAUAAAAUAAAACUUACCCUCAAGGUUGCCAUAAGAUUUAAAUUCACUCCUCUUUUCCACAACAUUUAAAAGGUUUCCUGGCACAACAUAAAUAUAAACUAUUUGUAUUACUAUUAUUAGUAUUUUUCUGUUGAACUAUAGGUUUGAACUUACGGCUCAGCCUCAAAUAUGAACAAAGGAGAACCAUACAGCACCAAAGAGUAAUUUCAAAAUAGUUUUCAAAAACUAUGGAUGGUUAUAUAGCUCAAGCAAUAUUUCUAAAAAUCCUUCUUAUUUUCUUACCUGUUUGUCUCUCCUUCUGCUACUUUUCUGCUGUUUCUCAAUUCAAAAUCUCUGGAGUUCUUUCCCAGACCCCUUUCCUCCUUCAAUGCAAAACCCAAGUGGCAGAGUCUUGGCCAGGGAGUGUAAGGAAAGAAACGCACUUAGCCAGCAAGGCCAGGCAGGCCCUCGUUGGUGGACAAGUAAAGAGGACAAUCGUGGAAUAUUCAUAUAUUAACAAUAAUUGUGUUGCCACAAUGGUUAUUAGCAGCGACAAGCCCAGUGCACUGCAUGUGUGUGACCUACACACUGCUAGGUGUAAGCUGCAUUCUGACUCUGACUUACCCUAGAGUUACUGCUGUGACACAAAGAGUGGCAAUGCUGUCCUGCAAAUAGCUGGCCCAUUUUUGGCUUCUCUGUGAACAUGAGAUGAUUUUUCCUAUCAAAAGGGCUUUAAAAUGUCCCACUAGCUGUUCCAGACAUUGCAUAAAAGACCCCGACCCCUUGGGACCACACAGUCAUCUAAGAGAACUUCGAUGGUUUAGAAUGAAAGGGCGUUGCUCAGGAACAGUAGACAGAGCCCUCGGCAGGACGCACAGGAUGCAAAACAUGACCCUGCCAUUCCUGGUUUAGAAUGCAAAAGCAGAGACCAUUUGUGACCAGAAUGGAGAACCCUGGGGAAGAAAAUAGACUUUCUAUCCCAGACUAGUCCACGUCGGAGAGCACCUGGCCAGGACAUACAGACUGAACUCCCUGCGGAGCCAAAAGAGAGGCAGGUUCCCAAGCCAAAUUCUAGCAACACGGGACAAAAAUGUACAGAUGAGAGAGCAAGAAAGAGGAGAGAGAGGUUGGGGGGGUGUGGAAUACUGAAAGAUGAUUGACAACGGUCCAUUUUAUAAUUUAUUUUUCUUUGGUUUAUUUGGUAAAAACAAAGUCACAUCAUUACAUAAUA